CAGCCGCCGCGGUAAAACCGAGGAUGCAAGCGUUAUCCGGAAUGAUUGGGCGUAAAGCGUGCGUAGGCGGCUUCUUAAGUCGGAUGUGAAAUCCCUGAGCUUAACUUAGGAAUUGCAUUCGAUACUGGGAAGCUAGAGUAUGGGAGAGGAUGGUAGAAUUCCAGGUGUAGCGGUGAAAUGCGUAGAGAUCUGGAGGAAUACCGAUGGCGAAGGCAGCCAUCUGGCCUAAUACUGACGCUGAGGUACGAAAGCAUGGGGAGCAAACAGGAUUAGAUACCCCUGUAGUCCCUGUCUCUUAUAC
rnacentral:rRNA from 1 species